UACGGGGGGGGCAAGCGUUGUUCGGAAUUACUGGGCGUAAAGGGCGCGUAGGCGGCCAUCUAAGUCAGACGUGAAAUCCCUCGGCUCAACCGAGGAACUGCGUCUGAUACUGGAAGGCUUGAAUCCGGGAGAGGGAUGUGGAAUUCCAGGUGUAGCGGUGAAAUGCGUAGAUAUCUGGAGGAACACCGGUGGCGAAGGCAGCUCGCUGGGACGGUACUGACGCUGAGGCGCGAAAGCGUGGGGAGCAAACGGG
rnacentral:rRNA from 1 species